rnacentral:rRNA from 1 species
UACGUAGGGUGCAAGCGUUAUCCGGAAUCACUGGGCGUAAAGCGCGCGCAGGCGGCGAUCUACGUCUGGGGUGAAAGCCCGGAGCUCAACUCCGGGACUGCCUUGGAUACGGGAUCGCUUGAGGAUUGGAGAGGCAAGGGGAAUUCCACGUGUAGCGGUGAAAUGCGUAGAGAUGUGGAGGAACACCUGUGGCGAAGGCGCCUUGCUGGCCAAUUACUGACGCUGAGGCGCGAAAGCGUGGGGAGCAAACAGG